rnacentral:rRNA from 1 species
UGGGGAAUUUUGGACAAUGGGCGAAAGCCUGAUCCAGCAAUGCCGCGUGAGUGAAGAAGGCCUUCGGGUUGUAAAGCUCUUUUGUCAGGGAAGAAACGGUGAGAGCUAAUAUCUCUUGCUAAUGACGGUACCUGAAGAAUAAGCACCGGCUAACUACGUGCCAGCAGCCGCGGUAAUACGUAGGGUGCAAGCGUUAAUCGGAAUUACUGGGCGUAAAGCGUGCGCAGGCGGUUUUGUAAGUCUGAUGUGAAAUCCCGGGGCUCAACCUGGGAAUUGCAUUGGAGACUGCAAGGCUAGAAUCUGGCAGAGGGGGGUAGAAUUCCACGUGUAGCAGUGAAAUGCGUAGAUAUGUGGAGGAACACCGAUGGCGAAGGCAGCCCCCUGGGUCAAGAUUGACGCUCAUGCACGAAAGCGUGGGGAGCAAACAGGAUUAGAUACCCCAGUAGUCCCUGAGCGGGCUGGCAAGGCG